rnacentral:rRNA from 1 species
GACGAACGCUGGCGGCGUGCUUAACACAUGCAAGUCGAACGAAGUGGCGGACGGGUGAGUAACGCGUAAUCAACCUGCCCUUCAGAGGGGGACAACAGUUGGAAACGACUGCUAAUACCGCAUACUGAAGGAGGGGAUUGCGUCGGAUUAGCUCGUUGGGGGGGUAACGGCCCACCAAGGCGAUGAUCAGUAGCCGGGUCUGAAGGAUGAACGGCCACAUUGGGACUGGGACACGGCCCAGACUCCUACGGGAGGCAGCAGUGGGGAAACUUCCGCAAUGGACGAAAGUCUGACGGAGCAACGCCGCGUGAGUGAUGACGGCCUUCGGGUUGUAAAGCUAUGUUAAUCGGGACGCGGUACCGGAAGAGAAAGCCACGGCUAACUACGUGCCAGCAGCCGCGGUAAUUC